rnacentral:rRNA from 1 species
GACGAACGCUGGCGGCGUGCUUAACACAUGCAAGUCGAACGGAAAGGCCUUUUCGGAGGUACUCGAGUGGCGAACGGGUGAGUAACACGUGGGUGAUCUGCCCUGCACUCUGGGAUAAGCCUGGGAAACUGGGUCUAAUACCGGAUAGGACCGCACUUUAGUGUGUGUGGUGGAAAGUUUUUUCGGUGUAGGAUGAGCCCGCGGCCUAUCAGCUUGUUGGUGGGGUAAUGGCCUACCAAGGCGGCGACGGGUAGCCGGACUGAGAGGUUGGUCGGCCACACUGGGACUGAGAGACGGCCCAGACUCCUACGGGAGGCAGCAGUGGGGAAUAUUGCACAAUGGGCGCAAGCCUGAUGCAGCGACGCCGCGUGGGGGAUGACGGACUUCGGGUUGGAAACUCCUUUCGCCAGGGACGAAGCGUUUUGUGACGGUACCUGGAAAAGAAGCACCGGCUAACUACGUG